UUUAAACAUAACCAUAAAUUUUCAUUUUCAACUUUUAUCGAUCAUCUUAUUUUAAAUUUUUUAAUUAAUAUUUAUAUCAUUAUUAUGUGAUAAAACAUGAAUAAUAUUUUAUACGUAAUUUAUGUUUUUUAAUUUUUUUCAUAUUUUUUAAUAAGAUGAACGAUUAAAGUUAAACUCGGAAAUUCAUUAUUGCACUUAAA
rfam:Oryza punctata chromosome 1, whole genome shotgun sequence.